AUGCACAAAAGGUGGCUGGGCUGGCCAGCACUUAGAAACCCGUGGACGACGCUGGACACGGGCAGGCCCUGCUGUAACAGAACCCUAAGUAAAAAGCCCUUUGCAAUGUAGCAUCAUGUUAACGGGAUGCAAAACACAGGACAGGCUGAGAUGGGAAGGAGGGAGACUGAUAGGGCUGAGUUGGAAUCUGGUCUCUGCUUCUUAACUCUGAGAUGGAGGACAAGAGAUUUAACCUCUCAGAGCCUCAUUUUUCUCACCUACAAAAGAAGGGGGUAAGAAGACCUACUUUGCAAAGCAUAAGAGACAGCUGUGUGGUACAGAGAUACACAGCAGAGGGCGAAAUAACGGCAGACGAGAAAAAGAAGAAAAGGAAGGAAAUGCGGGAGAAAAUGGACCAAGAAGAAGAAACAAACAUCAGCUACUGUUGACUAUGUGCUGAUUACCUACCAGGCACGGAGCUAAGCCCUUGGUUUGGCAUCGCUAUUCAUUCCUCAAAACUAUCUCAAAAAGUAGGUCGGGGUCAACCAAACACCCUACCACCUGUCUUUGUCAAUAAAGUUAUUCUAGAACACA